GGGGAUACAGCUCAGCGGCAGAGCGCCUGCCUAGCAUGCAUGCGGUCCCGGGUUCAAUCCCCAGCACUUCCA
rnacentral:tRNA from 1 species